UUACUAAACUAUUGUUAAAAAUAGUAACUCGUCUUUUUUGAAGUUUGUGCAUUAUCUUUAUUUAAAGAUUAAAAAAAUGAAAAUAGCACUAAAUAUGUAGAAAUGUCUAUAAAAUAUUCUUGGACGCGGGUUCAAUUCCCGCCGCCUCCAUAA
rnacentral:tmRNA from 1 species